rnacentral:rRNA from 1 species
UAAGCAUAUCAAUAAGCGGAGGAAAAGAAACCAACAGGGAUUGCCUCAGUAACGGCGAGUGAAGCGGCAACAGCUCAAAUUUGAAAUCUGGUCCCCUCUGGGGGCCCGAGUUGUAAUUUGAAGAGGAUGCUUUUGGCGAGGCGCCUUCCGAGUGCCCUGGAACGGGACGCCACAGAGGGUGAGAGCCCCGUAUGGUAGGACGCCGAGCCUCUGUAAAGCUCCUUCGACGAGUCGAGUAGUUUGGGAAUGCUGCUCAAAAUGGGAGGUAAACCCCUUCUAAAGCUAAAUAUUGGCCAGAGACCGAUAGCGCACAAGUAGAGUGAUCGAAAGAUGAAAAGCACUUUGAAAAGAGAGUUAAACAGCACGUGAAAUUGUUGAAAGGGAAGCGCUUGCGACCAGACUUGCGCCCGUCGGAUCAACCGUCCCUCGUGGGCGGCGCACUCCGGCGGGCUCAGGCCAGCAUCAGUUUUCCCGGGGGGAGAAAGGCGGUGGGAAUGUAGCUCUUCGGAGUGUUAUAGCCCGCCGCGUAAUGCCCUCGGGGGGACUGAGGACCGCGCGUAUGCAAGGAUGCUGGCGUAAUGGUCGUCAGCGACCCGUCUUGAAACACGGACCAAGGAGUCGUCCUAAUAUGCGAGUGUACGGGUGUAAAACCCCUGCGCGUAAUGAAAGUGAACGGAGGUGAGAGCUUCGGCGCAUCAUCGACCGAUCCUGAUGUUCUCGGAUGGAUUUGAGUAAGAGCAUAUUGGGCCGGACCCGAAAGAAGGUGAACUAUGCCUGUAUAGGGUGAAGCCAGAGGAAACUCUGGUGGAGGCUCGCAGCGGUUCUGACGUGCAAAUCGAUCGUCAAAUAUGGGCAUGGGGGGCGAAAGACUAAUCGAACCUUCUAGUAGCUGGUUUCCGCCGAA